CAGUCGCCACGGGAAUACGUAGGGUGCAAGCGUUAAUCGGAAUUACUGGGUGUAAAGCGUGCGCAGGCGGUUUGUUAAGACAGAUGUGAAAUCCCCGGGCUUAACCUGGGAACUGCACUUGUGACUGGCAAGCUAGAGUAUGGCAGAGGGGGGUGGAAUUCCGCGUGUAGCAGUGAAAUGCGUAGAUAUGCGGAGGAACACCGAUGGCGAAGGCAGCCCCCUGGGCCAAUACUGACGCUCAUGCACGAAAGCGUGGGGAGCAAACAGGAUUAGAUACCCCCGUAGUCCCUGUCUCUUAUAC
rnacentral:rRNA from 1 species